AUACCGGCCAGAGACCGAUAGCGCACAAGUAGAGUGAUCGAAAGAUGAAAAGCACUUUGGAAAGAGAGUUAAAAAGCACGUGAAAUUGUUGAAAGGGAAGCGCUCACAACCAGACUUCUAGGCAGUGUUCCGCCGGUCUUUUGACCGGUCUACUCUCUGUCUCGAGGCCAACAUCAUCUGGGACCGCUGGAUAAGACCUUAGGAAUGUAGCUCCCCUCGGGGAGUGUUAUAGCCUCUGGUGACGCAGCGAGUCUCGGGUGAGGUCCGCGCUUCUGCAAGGAUGUUGGCGUAAUGGUUGUCAGCGGCCCGUCUUGAAACACGGACC
rnacentral:rRNA from 1 species